UGUCACAAGUGGCAAGAUUUCAUUUCUCUUUUAUGGCUGAGUAAUAUUCCAUUGUAGGAAAAAGAGAACUGUCGUGUCAGGAGCAUUAGUAGUGCUGAAAACUCUACGAUCCUCAGAAAGACCAAAAAGCUUUCAGAAUAUCAGAGGAACUAGAUCAGGGAUCCCCUCUCAAUACUUUACUAUGAAAAUUGUCAAAUAAAAAGAUUUUGGAAGAAA